GGAAGACUAUGCACUAUGAGAAAAGUAAGUCCAAAUAAACAAAUAAUACCCUCUGCGAAGCCUGCAAGCUGGAAGUACUGUGCUUUGACCAGACAUGUGCAGGCACAAGCUGGAUACGAUAGGACCCAGCUAUCUUUAUUUCUGGGCCAGUGAUCAAAAGGUGUUUCUCAAUAUGCAGGGCAGGCUCUUACCACCCACUGACUUCUCAGGGAAGAGCUGAACCUUCCGCAUUUGCAACCAGCAAGAAAACAAUAUCCAGAGAAGUGGCUCUGCAUAAAACUACCUUGAAGAGACUUCUUAUGGAACGCUAGCAAAGUUCAUUCCUGAAGAAACCCAUACACAGGUAACCUACAGAGACAACUACAAACAUGGAAAUAAAAAGCAAAGACCAUCAUGAGACAAGUCUUUGCCAUUCUGAAGCAGUACAGUAGUGAAUUGUAUAUAGUCAUCAGAUUGGGAAAACACAUUCUGAACCACUGCUUAUCAAGAAAGAUGAAGUCAGGCUCAGAAGAGACCAACUGGAAUCAGACAAUUGGAUAUUAAGUUCAAUGCAUUUGUUGUUUUUCUGAUCUGGCCAACAGCAGCUGACAGCUGAACAGCAAGAACAGAGAGCUGGCGCAGAAGGGUGACUGGGCUAUUGCUGACAACCAGUUCUUGAAUCAGAUCACACCAGUAGAGAAUACUGAUGCCUUCAACAGGC
rnacentral:lncRNA from 1 species